GCUGGGAUAGCUCAACGGUAGAGCAAUUGCCUUACAAGCAAAAGGUUAUCGGUUCAAAUCCGAUUCUUAGCA
rnacentral:tRNA from 1 species